CCUGUCCUCUUUUUCUCCUUUCUCCACUUAGAAAACAUGAAAGUAUUAGGAAAAAACCAAACGGCAAACCCUAAGACCCUUUUCUCCCAUUCUCUUGUACUGUUAUCUCAUUCAUUCAUUCAUAAAUUCCUGUAACACACCUAAAAAUCCUAAUUAUUCCCAUUUUUUCUUCCAAUUAAUACCGACCCGGAAGCAUUAUCAUUUCCAUAUAUGCAUAUAUUGAAAAAUUACAUAUAGAUAAAUACUUGUUAUGCUGAUCGUUGUAUAGAGAGAGAGUGAGGGGGAGAAACAGGGAAGAGAUUGAAAAUUGGCUUAUUUUGAAGAGGGGAAAGAAAGCGGAUGGAGGGAAUACCGCACGCAAUACCUCGAACCGUUGAAGAAGUUUUCAGCGACUUCAAAGGCAGACGCAAUGGCUUGAUCAGGGCUCUCACCACCGAUGUUGAGAAGUUUUACCAACAGUGCGACCCAGAAAAGGAGAACCUGUGUCUAUAUUUUGUUCACAUGGGCAUCCUGGAAAUGGUAUCUGUUAUGCCUAAUCUCUCUAUGGCGGGG
rnacentral:misc_RNA from 1 species